GGAUGAUCUUAAGGGACUCAAUAAAAAUAAAAUGUCUGCUGUUCACCAAGACCACUGUACACCAACAGGGAACUAACUGUAAUCUAUCUUGCUGCUACAUACAUUGUAAAAGAAAAAUUGUAAAAUAUUGUAAAAUGCAUUUCAUCCAAACCAUCUUCUUGUUGUCAGGAUGGACACGCAAAUGUAGCAGUGUUAGAUUUCCGUUAAGACUCCUUUCUUAAUUUAUGAUGCAAAUUAAACUCCCCUCCAGCAAUAAUGCCUUGACAAGAUCACCAAUUUAUACAAUCUAUCCAUACUUGUCUGCCACUUUCUAACAUGCUUUAAAUGUUAGGAAGAUUUGCUUUUAUGUUCCUGCAUUUCUAGCCCUUGAUCACCCCCUGUUUAGUGCAACUGGUGCACUGAAAACCAAGAGUGCUUUUUUUUCCAUUAAAAAUAGCUUUACAAAAGAAAUCCUGGCCCUGCCUUACUGCUACAUUGUACAAUCACACACUGAAAGAGAGCAAACUGCAUUUUGCUAUCAAAUCAUUAACUCUAGAAAGAAUUCUAUUUUCCUUUGUUCCUGUUCUCUCUUUUGUCAUACCCCAGGUGCUGCAAAAACUCCAGUCUCCUUUCACUAAGUAAAAUC